AAACCAGCUUUCAAUCAAUUUAUUUAUGUUUUCAAUUUCAUGUUUGAAACCCUCAAAAUCGUUGAAAUGAAACCCUAAUUCUGUAUAAGAAUCAUAAUCUCUUUCUCAUAUUUUUUUUUUUACAAUGGCAACCGGACUCCCAGAAGAGAUGAUGAUCAAUAUACUCUCGUGCUUGCCGGUGAAAUCUAUCUUAAGAUUCAGGUGUGUAUGCAAGACUUGGCGUGAUUUAUUCAAAAGCCCUGAUUUCACUCGGAUGCACCUUAAUCGUUCUAAGGAGAACAAUCACCUCAAUUUCAUGCUUAGUGAUGGCAAAGAAAUGUACUUCGUACAUAACGAUGAAUCAUCUUUGACAGAAUCGUUUGAUAAAGCUAUACAGGUACAUCACCCAUUGAAAUCUUCUGAAACAAGUGUUCAAAUUUUGGCGUUUUGUGAUGGUUUGUUUUGCUUAGAUAAAGGAUAUUCGAAAACUUUGAUUUGCCUUUGGAACCCAUGUACCGGUGAAUACAAGGAGAUACCAGCACCACCACCACCAAUCGAAUUUCCGAAUCAUUUAUUGGCUCAGACAAGGGAGUUUAGGCAGAUGAGAAUCGGUGAACACAGAACCUCUUAUGGAUUUGGUUACGACUGCAACAUCAAGGAUUAUAAGUUGGUGCGAAUUGUGGACCUCAUUAGCCAUGGUUCCGAGGUCCAGGUCUAUACAUUAGGGUCGAAUGCGUGGAGAUCAAUUGCCAAUAUUCCUUAUAACAUUGCCUAUCAAGAACCACAUGGUAUACUUGUUAAUACAACUCUACAUUGGAGUGCACGCAAAUCUUCCACGCAGCUCCAUUCAAUUAUUUCUUUUCAUAUUGAAAGUGAGAGUUUCGAGGAAGUGCCGUUACUGCAAGCAGAAAAUUUUGAUGAUACGCACCAGAUUAGUCUGUGUGUUUCUGGAAGAUGUCUUUGCAUACUUACUCAUCAUCAUAAGGUUCGGACUGAUGUAUGGGUGAUGAAGGAAUAUGGGGUGAGACAUUCUUGGACUAAGCUUUUCAGCAUAACUCAGCAGACGGUUCUCGACUCAUUUUACUUGAUGCCUGUACUAUUUAUCAAGAAUGAUGUGGUUCUGUUAGAUCAAAAUUACCAUUCUGGUCUACUUUUGUAUGACCCAAAACAUGAAAAUGAUAUCAUUGAUUUUGACCUGCAAAUGCUUAGGAUUACACCUUAUGUUGGUUGCUUAGUGUCACUUAAUUCAGGUACGUAUGUGGGUCAAGGAAAAAGAGAGGAAGUAAUUGAACAAAAGAUGAUGCUCAGGAGAAUAAGCAAGAGGCGGCGUUUAUGAGAAGCAAAGAUAUGGUCCAUAUGGAAAGGAGAAAAUGCUUUUACAAUGUGGGCGUCGGGAGUUAGGCUGUGUGUUAGUGCACUGCGUACAUGGUUCCAUUUCGAAUGGUGGUGAAAUUAAUGCUUGACACUGCAUCUGCAAUUUGAGUUAGGUUUAUUAGCAUUUAUCAUAUGAGAUGUUCCUCUUCCAGUUACUUUCCUCUGUAUGAAAUACUCCAAUGAACCUUCUUUCCUUUUUAAAGAAUCUGGAACACAAACCCAAAUCAUCAAGCUUCAGCAUGUCCGGCAACCCAAAGAACAUGCCAUGAAAAAGUAGACUAUUGGAAAAGAGGUUACCGUAUAUUUGCACAUCCUCUAGGCUGGCUUAACUUCUCCUGUCAUCCUAUGGUACAUAUUUUAUACUGGGUGAUCCUUUCUUAGGAGUUAGAAAUUGGAACUUGGACUCGGUGAUGACUUUAAAACUUGUAAACCUAAUGAGAUUGUCUUUCUAUUCAUUGGAUAGAUGCGAGGUUCAAGAAAGGUGGAUGGUUGCCUUGUGGUAUUCUGACGAUUAAUAUCUAUAUUCAGGAUGUUUAUCACUUCGUUUUAGAUACCGUGACGGACAUGACCUGUCUUGUUUGUUCAAUGUUAAGAGUAAUAUACUAUUAUGGAUUUCAAUUGGCAGCACCGGUGAACCAAAAAACCCUUAUGAAGCUUUGAUAAUAGCUGGUGCACAAUUACACUCUUUUGGUGUUAUUUGGAGGAAACUUUUGAGAUGAGUUUUGCUUCAGGGGAAUCUGGCAAUUUUUGAGAGUGCAGUUUUUGCUUCAGGAGACCUUCGAUGUACAAUAAAUCAUUUAUAUAGGCUUGGGCCUUGAUAUACUGGUAUGUAUAUGGGCUUGGAACGAAGAAAAACGAAACAGCGUUGGUUGCAUAAUGCGUUAUACAUCGGCGAUGUAGUCUUUUUUAGGUGAAAGUAUCACGUUUCCUGAUUUUUGCUAUCAGCGGUGUUUCAUUUUUUUUGUUGGAAUAAUAUUUCACUUUCCUCAAACGGAGUGAAAAUAUCACUUUAAAAUAUGGCUGCGUAAUGUGUUAUGCAUCCUUUGUGGCAAUGCAUUCAAUUUUCG